rnacentral:rRNA from 1 species
UUGUCAUAUGCUUGUUUCAAGGACUAAGCCAUGCAAAUGUCAGUGGACCCGGGUUUACUCGGGGGGACUGUGUACGGCUCAUUAAACGGUUAAUAGUCUACCCAACAGCGGGGGCACUCGUGCCUUCCUACGGGAUAACUGCCCUAACUGGGCGGCUAAUACCUGGAUGAUGACUUCUUGAUCACUCAACCGUCCGUUGCUUGCGGCGGACGGGGUCAAGAAGGCUAUUGGCCGGAACAAGGACUAACGCUUCGGUAGAAGCAGCUGUAAUUGUUGACGCAGGCCAAUGUAGCGGAAGCGCCUUUGGCGCGGUGUUGGACGAAUUCACCACCUAUCAGGUAUGAAGGUAGUGUAGUGGACUACCUUGCCUCUGACGGGUAACGGAGGAUUGGGGUUCGAUUCCGGAGAGGGUGCCUGAGAAACGGCAACCAUGACUACGGUCGGCAGCAGGCGCGCAAAUUGCCCAAUGCUAACACAUAGCGAGGCAGCGACGAAAAAUAGUAUUCCUGCGCCAAUUGGCUCAGGAUGCAAUGUCCUGUAUCUAGUACACACUGCUGAGUAUCUAUU